rnacentral:rRNA from 1 species
UACGGAGGAUCCAAGCGUUAUCCGGAUUUAUUGGGUUUAAAGGGUGCGUAGGCGGAUUAUUAAGUCAGUGGUGAAAUCCUACAGCUUAACUGUAGAACUGCCAUUGAUACUGAUAGUCUUGAGUACAUGCGGAGUGGGCGGAAUAUGUCAUGUAGCGGUGAAAUGCAUAGAUAUGACAUAGAACACCGAUAGCGAAGGCAGCUCACUAGAAUGUAACUGACGCUGAUGCACGAAAGCGUGGGUAGCAAACAGGAUUAGAUACCCUGGUAGUCCACGCCGUAAACGAUGAUUACUCGAUGUCUGCGAUAUACAGUAGGCGUCUAAGCGAAAGUGAUAAGUAAUCCACCUGGGGAGUACGAUCGCAAGGUUGAA